ACACGUGCUACAAUGGGCGGUACAAAGAGAGGCAACCUCGCGAGGGUGAGCAGAUCUCAAAAAAGCCGUUCUCAGUUCGGAUUGAAGUCUGCAACUCGACUUCAUGAAGUCGGAAUCGCUAGUAAUCGCGGAUCAGCAUGCCGCGGUGAAUACGUUCCCGGGCCUU
rnacentral:rRNA from 1 species